rnacentral:tRNA from 1 species
CCGACCUUAGCUCAGUUGGUAGAGCGGAGGACUGUAGUUUGUCGCAGAUAAAUCCUUAGGUCGCUGGUUCGAAUCCGGCAGGUCGGA